AUAAUAAUAACACGAAAGAUUUUCAUCUUUCAGACCAAGAACACAACGACAACUGAGAGCGAAACACAGAUAUAGCGCAUCGGAGAGCGAGAAAUAUAUAGAGACAGAGGAGAGAAACACUCAGAUUUUCUCAGAGAGAUUGGAAAUUUGAGGUGCCAUUUUCUGGGCCUUACACGAUCUGUACCGGAAAGGUCUUCACACGCUGUUGGAUUCACAGCUCCCGAGAAUUUUCUCCGCCUGUUCUGUUAGUUCCCUAGUAUUCUCGGUUUUGAAUUGGAGCGAGGAUUGGAUAACCUUGAGGCGAAUUGCAGCAUGAGCAUCGACAGCCCCGGAGGAGGGGAGGAUUAGGGUUUUCAAGGUUUCGGCCGAAGAGGAAUUGGGGAGAUUUCCAUGGGCGAUGGAGGCGUCGCAUGCAUGCAUUUGCGGCAGUAUCACAUGGAGAGGUUUCCAAUUCCAGAGAAGACGCUCUAUGGCAACGGAGGCAAGAAUGGAAGCAAUAGCAACAACAAUGGGUUCAGUUCCAAGUCGCUCAACACGGAGCGAAAGAAUAAGAUGAAGGUGAAGAAGGAGCCAUUUGCGAAGAACGUGGAGUCCGAGAAGAGCGAGCGGGGAUUGAAUAGAGGAAGAAAGAUUAGUAGGGAAGUUGAAAAUGGUGAAAAUUGUGCUGAGAAGGCGCAGAAGGAUGAGGUGGAAGAGGGUGAAUUGGGGACUUUGAAUGGAGAGUAUGUGUCUCGGAGAAGUGAAAUUGAGAAGGAAGAGACUGUUGAGAAAUGGAGAAGAAGUGAGGUGCAGAAGGGAGAGAUUGCUUAUGCGAAAUGGAGGAAAGAGGGAGUGGAGAAAGACGAGAUAGUGCCGGAGAAGACUAGGAGAGGAGAAUCCAAAAGAGAGGAAUUCGGGUCGCGGAGAGGCACAAAAGAUGAGAUUGAAAAGGGAGAGUUCAUUCCAGAUAGGUGGCAUAAAGGGGAAGCGCCACGGGAAGAGUACAAUUGCUGUAAAUCACGCAGGUUUGAGUUGGGUAAGGAUAAGGGGAGUCGAUUUCAGCUCGAGCGUACACCACCUUCUGGGAAGUAUUCUUUGGAUGAUGGUUUCCGAAGGAAAGAGUACAACAGAAGUGGAAGUCAGCUUAGCAAAAGUACUCCCAGGUGGGAGACUGGCCAGGAGAGGAGUACAAGGAUCAGUUCGAAAAUCGUGGACGAGGAAGGUUUGUAUAGGGGCGAACACAGCAAUGGGAAGAACCAUGGGACAGAUUACUCUUCUGGUUACCGGUUUAAGCGGUAUGGUACCGACUCAGAUAGCAGUGAGUGCAAGUAUUACGGAGAUUAUGGGGAUUGUGCUGGUUCGAAAAACCGUAGGCUUUCUGAUGACAGCAACCGCGCUGCCCAUGAAGAUAAUUAUUCACGCCGUUCUGUGGAGAGGUCUUACAGGAAUUUAGCUUCAUCGAAACUUCCUUCAUCACACAAGUACUCCUCCAGGGGUUAUGAAUCUUUCUUGUCUUCAAGAGUAGCUUUAGAUAGGCAUGCACAUAGCCCUGGACGUUCUGAGCGGUCUCCACAUGACAGGGUCCGGUAUUCUGAGCACCGUGACAGGGUUUCUGUCCGUGGUCGUGAAAGAUCACCACGUGGUCGUGAGAGACCUCCAUACGGCUGUGAAAGGUCCCCAUACGAUCGAAGUCGCUACCGUGAACAUAGAAAUCGAACUCCUACACAUGCAGAGCUGUCUCCACAAAAUGGAGCUCGAAACCAUGAUCGCAGGGAUAAGACCCCGAACUAUCUGGAGCGGUCCCCAAUUGAUAGUCGUAGGCCCAGUAGUCACCGGGAAGCAAGUCGUAAAGGUGGAACAGGAGAAAAGCGCAACUCUCAGAUUGUUAGUAAAGGGAAAGAAGAUAAAUUCAGCCACAGGGAUUCCAACCAAAAAGGCUCACAUUAUUCCGCCAAAGAGUCUCAAGAUACAAGCAGUGUCUAUAAUAUUAACGGGUAUCUUGAGAAAAAUUUGAACUGUGAGCCUCACAAAGAAGAGCAGACUCAGAGUCCAAGCACUACAUGCAAAGAAUCUUGUCCAGUAGAUGUGACUCUUCCUGAAGAGCUGCAAUCUAUGGAAGAAGAUAUGGAUAUAUCUGACACGCCACCACAUGUCCCUGUGGUGGCUGAUUCAUUCGCAGGGAAAUGGUUUUACCUUAAUUAUUGUGGCGUGGAAUGUGGGCCUUCUAAAUUAUGCGACCUGAAAACACUUGUGGAAGAAGGGGCUCUAAUGUCAGAUCACUUGAUCAAGCACUUAGAUAGUGAUAGGUGGGUAACUGUUGAAAAUGCAACUUCUCCACUGGUCGUUGUGAAUUUCCCGUUCAUUGUGUCUGACAUUGUAACUCAGCUGGCGAAGCCUCCUGAAGCUCCUGGUAAUCUUUUGGCUGAUGGUGGAGAUACUUGGCAAUAUGGUCCUCAGAGUGGGGAGGAAACAUCCAUUACUUUGUCUGAUUCAGUGGUUUGCACUGAGGACAGUGCAGAAGAUCUCCACAUUGAUGAAAGGGUUGUCGCUCUUUUAGAUGGCUUUCCUGUUAUUCCUGGCAAGGAACUUGAAACUGUUGCAGAAGUUCUGCAAAUGAGGUUUGAACUUGCCGAAUGGGAGGGUCCAGAGGGUUGCGGAAACUCUGAAGGGUUCUCUUGGCAUAGAAGCGAAGCUUCUGAUCAGAAAACUGAUGAAUUAUCUAGAAUUUCUGAGAUAAAAUUAAAAGAAGCUGCAGAAUCAAGGUCAAUUGCAACCUCUGACAAGGAUCAUGGUUGUGUCUAUGGGGAAUUUGGUGACUGGUUUUCUGGCCUAUGGUCUUGCAAGGGUGGCGACUGGAAGAGGAAUGAUGAGGCUGCACAAGAUAGAUCUUUUGGACAGAAGCUUGUUCUCAAUGACGGUUUCCUGAUAUGCCAGAUGCCAAAGUCUGGGUCUGAGGACCCUCGGUGGCAUCGAAAAGAUGACUUGUACUAUCCUUCUCAUUGCAAGAGGGUUGAUCUCCCUCCUUGGGCUUUCUCUUUAUCAGAUGAGAGGAAUGAUUGUAGUGGCACAGGCAGACCAGUCCAAAGUAAGCCUGCUAUUGUCAAGGGAAUGAAAGGGACAAUGCUUCCAGUGGUGAGGAUAAAUGCAUGUGUCGUUAAGGAUCAUGGUUCAUUUGUUUCUGAUUCCCGCAUGAAAGUCGAAGGGAAGGAGGGAUAUUCUUCAAGGUCUUCUCGGCCAUACUCUUCGAGUAGUGAUGGCAAGAGAUCAUCAGCAGAAUGUGAUUCUCAAUCAAGAAGGAUCAAUGAUCAAGGUUCAGAAGACUCCUGGAAGAUCAUGGCGCCUAUCAACCCUCCAAGAGACCAUAUUUGCACAGUUGAUGACCUGCAAUUGUAUUUGGGUGAUUGGUACUAUCUUGAUGGUGCUGGGCAUGCACAAGGGCCCUCAUCAUUUUCGCAGCUUGAGGUCUUAGCAGAACAAGGCAUUAUUCAAAAACAUAUUAGUGUGUUCAGAAAAUUUGAUAAAAUUUGGGUUCCAGUUAGCUCUGCUGCAGAGAGCUCUGAAGCCAGUGUCAAGAGCGAUCAGGUAAACAAUUCUGAGACUGGUGUUUCUUCAAGAACUGUUUCAGAAGGUCAAGGUUCUACCCUUGGUGAAUUUAAAAUGAAAGCAAGUUUCUCCCGUGACCUGCAUCCGCAGUUCAUUGGUUAUACUCGUGGGAAGCUACACGAAUUGGUGAUGAAAUCGUAUAAGAGUCGUGAGUUUGCUGCAGCCAUUAAUGAAGCCUUAGAUCCAUGGAUCAAUGCUAAACAGCCAAAGAAGGAGAUGGAGAAGCACAUGUACCGAAAAUCAGAAGGUGAUGCACAUGCUGCCAAGAGGGCCCGGCUGCUUGAUGAGAUUGAAGAUGAUUAUGAAAUAGAAGAGGCUGCACAGACAAUUCAGAAGGACGAGUCCACAUUUGAGGAUCUAUGUGGUGAAGUGACUUUUUACAGAGAAGAGAAUGCAAAAUCUGAAACUCAAAUGGGAAGCUGGGGUUUAUUGGAUGGUCAUGUGCUGGCACGGGUUUUUUAUUUUCUGAGAUCGGACAUCAAAUCCCUCGCCUUUGUUUCUUUGACUUGUAAACACUGGAGAGCUGUGGCCAAUUUUUACAAGGACAUUUCAAGACAGAUUGAUCUCUCAUGUUUUGGCCCUAAUUGCACUGACUUCAUACUCAUAAGUGUCAUGAGUGGUUAUAGCAAAGAAAAAAUAAAUUCAAUGGUUCUCAGGGGUUGCACAAACAUUACCUCCGACAUGCUUGAAAAGAUUCUUCAUUCGUUUCAUUGUAUCUCUUCUAUCGACAUCAGAGGUUGCAGCCAAUUUGAGGAGUUGGCUCUCAAAUUUGCAAGUAUGAACUGGGUCAAGAGCCGAACUUCACGUGUUACGAAAUUCUUCGAGGAAUCACAGUAUAAAAUAAGGAGUCUUAAACAGAUCACUGCAAGAACUUCAUCAGUUUCCAGAAAGGGUCUGGGUGGUGAUAUAGAUGAUUUUGGUGAACUAAAGGACUAUUUCAAUAGUGUGGAUAAAAGAGACUCUGGAAAUCAGUUAUUCCGUCGAAGCUUAUACAAACGAUCAAAACUAUUUGACGCCAGAAGGUCCUCAUCCAUUCUAUCAAGGGAUGCCCGUAUGAGGCGGUGGGCCAUCAAGAAAUCCGACAAUGGCUAUAAGAGAAUGGAAGAGUUCCUUCUUUCUGGUCUUAAAGACAUCAUGAAAGAGAAUACAUUUGAUUUCUUUGUGCCCAAGGUUGCUGAAAUUGAAGAUAGAAUUAAAAAUGGUUAUUACAUUGGCCAUGGAUUGGGCUCCCUGAAGGAGGAUAUUAGUCGAAUGUGCAGAGAAGCAAUAAAAGCAAAGAAUCGGUGUGAUGCUGGAGACAUGAAUCAGAUUAUUCCUUUAUUUAUUAAACUUGCCACACGUUUAGAAGACCAUUCUAAGUCCUCGUAUCAAAGAGAUGAGAUGAUAAAGUCUUGGGAAGAUGAUUCACUUGCUGGCUCAAGGUAUAAGAAGAAGAUCAAUAAACCUUUGACUGAAAGGAAGUACACGAAUAGGAGUAAUUACACGUCCUUCUCAAAUGGUAGUUUGGAAUAUGUAGAGUAUGCGUCUGAUCGAGAAAUCAGACGGCGUUUAUCCAAAUUGAAUAAAAAAUAUAGGGACUCAGAGAGUGAAACUUCUGAGGACCUUGAUAGGUCUUCUGAGGAUGGCAAGAGUGAUGGUAAGACUACUGGUACAGAAACAGAAAGUGACUUGGAUAUGUGGUCCAAGGCUCGGACAGCAGAGUCAAGAGGAGAUGGACACUUUAUGCCAAAUGAGGGUUUGGAUUCUAUCACUAGUGAUCGUGAGUGGGGUGCUCGAAUGACAAAAGCUAGCCUGGUUCCUCCUGUUACUAGAAAAUAUGAAGUCAUCGAUCAAUAUAUUAUUGUUGCGGAUGAGGAGGGCGUGGAACGGAAAAUGCGAGUAUCUUUACCAGAGGACUAUACUGAGAAGCUCCAUGCUCAGAAAAGUGGCACUGAGGAGUCUGAUAUGGAACUUCCUGAAGUCAAGGACUAUAAACCAAGAAAACAGCUUGGAUUUGAGGUUUUGGAGCAAGAGGUUUAUGGAAUUGAUCCCUAUACUCACAAUCUUUUGCUUGAUUCUAUGCCAGAGGAGUUGGAUUGGCCACUACUUGAGAAGCAUUUGUUUAUAGAAGAUGUGCUCCUUCGAACUUUGAAUAAGCAAGUUAGGAACUUCACUGGGACGAGAAACACUCCAAUGAUGUUUCCAUUGCAGCCUGUCAUUGAAGAAAUUGAAAAAGAUGCUGAGGAGGACUGCAAUAUACGAACCGUGAGAAUGUGUCAGGGUAUUUUGAAGGCUAUAGAUAGUCGUUCUGAUGACAAAUAUGUUGCUUACAGAAAGGGUCUUGGUGUUGUUUGUAACAAAGAAGAAGGCUUUGGAGAAGAAGAUUUUGUUGUGGAUUUUUUGGGAGAGGUUUAUCCUGUUUGGAAAUGGUUCGAGAAGCAAGAUGGGAUCCGAUCUUUGCAAGAAAAUAGUAAAGAUCCAGCUCCAGAAUUUUACAACAUCUAUCUCGAGAGGCCAAAGGGUGAUGCUGAUGGUUAUGAUUUGGUUGUUGUCGAUGCUAUGCAUAAGGCAAACUUUGCAAGUCGAAUAUGUCACUCGUGUCGACCUAAUUGUGAAGCAAAAGUUACUGCUGUUGGUGGUCAUUACCAGAUUGGAAUCUAUACUGUUCGUAAUAUUAAAUAUGGCGAGGAGAUCACAUUUGAUUAUAAUUCUGUUACAGAGAGUAAAGAAGAAUAUGAAGUGUCAGUUUGUUUGUGUGGGAGCCAAGUUUGCCGGGGCAGCUACUUGAAUCUGACAGGCGAAGGUGCUUUUGAAAAGGUACUGGAGGAGUGGCAUGGAAUUCUGGACCGUCAUCAGUUAAUGCUAGAAGCUUGCGAAUUAAAUUCAGUCUCUGAAGAGGAUUAUCUUGACUUGGGAAGGGCUGGUUUAGGCAGUUGUUUGCUUGGUGGGCUGCCUGAUUGGGUGGUAGCCUACUCGGCUCGCCUGGUGAGGUUCAUAAAUUUUGAAAGAACAAAGCUACCUGAGGAGAUUCUGAGGCAUAAUUUGGAGGAAAAAAGGAAAUAUUUUUCAGAUAUAUGUCUUGAAGUUGAGAAGAGUGAUGCUGAGGUUCAGGCUGAAGGUGUGUACAAUCAAAGGCUUCAAAAUUUGGCUGUUACUCUUGAUAAGGUGAGGUAUGCCAUGAAAUGCAUUUUUGGUGACCCGAAGAUUGCACCACCUCCUCUCGAGAAGCUGAGUCCUGAAGCAGUAGUUUCCUCUAUCUGGAAAGGGCAGGGAUCAUUUGUAGACGAGCUUCUCCAAUGCAUGGCUCCUCACCUGGAAGAAUCCAUGUUAAAUGAUCUUAAGUCCAAGAUUCACGCUCAUGAUCCAUCAGGUUCUGACGAUGUACAAAACGAACUUCGGAGAUCUCUAUUAUGGUUGAGGGAUGAGAUCCGAAAUCUUCCAUGUACUUACAAGUCUCGGCAUGAUGCUGCAGCUGACUUGAUCCAUAUUUAUGCAUAUACAAAGUGCUUCUUUAGAAUACGGGAAUAUAAGGCUGUAACUUCGCCACCAGUUUACAUUAGUCCACUUGACUUGGGCCCCAAGUACGCUGAUAAAUUGGGGUUAGGUUUUCAGGAGUAUUGCAAGACCUACGGUGAGAAUUAUUGCUUGGGACAGCUGAUUUUAUGGUAUAACCAGACCAAUGCGGAGCCAGAUUGUAGCCUGGCUAGAGCUAGUAGGGGUUGCUUGUUGUUACCUGAGAUUGGUUCCUUCUAUGCCAAGGUUCAGAAACCAUCACGGCAUCGCGUUUAUGGCCCAAGGACACUGAGGUUUAUGCUGGCAAGAAUGGAGAAGCAGCCCCAGAGACCGUGGCCCAAGGAUCGAAUAUGGUCAUUCAAGAGCUCUCCAAAAGUUUUUGGCAGCCCGAUGUUGGAUGGCAUUCUAAAUAAUUCUCCACUAGACAGGGAAAUGGUGCAAUGGCUGAAGCACCGACCUGCCAUAUUUCAGGCCAUGUGGGAUCGGUGAAUGAUUGCUGAGAUUGGGGAAGCAGCAGGCAUCAAUAGGCUACACUUUGUGAAAUGGUUUUGGAAUGAUUAGUCAAUUUUUGUUCACAGCUGCCCUUUUAAUGUGGGAAGUUGAGUAAGGCUUGUAAUUUUCACAGGACAUCACAGAAUGAGAUCUGGCUAGAUGUGGUGGCGCCCAUCUGUUGUCUUUUCUUAAUUGGUACCGGGUGUCCAAGAACAGCAUCCUGACUAAUUUCGAAGGUGCACAGGCCUUCGACAAGGAGUUUUCCACAAGUGCAUCUCAGGUGAGGAACCUACUUUAACCCUUACCUUGUACUUCUAAAGUUCCAUAUGUUUGCCCGACCUGCUAAAGAUGAGCACGAUGGAAAUUGGAAAGAGCCUGGCACUUGCUUGGUUUGCGAGGAUCAGAAGUUAUUUUGUGACAAUGGCAAAUUUGAGAACAUGAACGUACCUGCAAGGCUGAGCAGCUUAGGUUUAUGGCGGCAAAGGAAAGAACAAAGGGGGAAUUUCUUUUUUCAGAAACUCAUCUUCAUGUGCGGAAAAUUGUGGAAUGGGUUGUGUAACACAUUUCAGGAAGAAAAAGCUUUCAAUUCAUUGAUGUUGAGAAUCAAGGUAGGAAGAUGAAGGGUAUAUUCUGAAACGAGUAUAUUGAUUAAUUGAUUGAAUGUUUUCAUCA